UACGGGGGGGGUAAGCGUUGUUCGGAAUUACUGGGCGUAAAGGGCUUGUAGGUGGCCAACUAAGUCAGACGUGAAAUCCCUCGGCUUAACCGGGGAACUGCGUCUGAUACUGGAUGGCUAGAGUGUGGGAGAGGGAUGCGGAAUUCCAGGUGUAGCGGUGAAAUGCGUAGAUAUCUGGAGGAACACCGGUGGCGAAGGCGGCAUCCUGGACCACGACUGACACUGAAAAGCGAAAGCCAGGGGAGCAAACGGG
rnacentral:rRNA from 1 species